GACGAACGCUGGCGGCGUGCCUAAUACAUGCAAGUCGAGCGAAGUUUUUCUGGUGCUUGCACUAGAAAAACUUAGCGGCGCACGGGUGAGUAACACGUAAAGAACCUGCCUCAUAGACUGGGACAACUAUUGGAAACGAUAGCUAAUACCGGAUAACAGUAUUUCUCGCAUGUGAGAUAUUUAAAAGUUGGUUAUGCUAACACUAUGAGAUGGCUUUGCGGUGCAUUAGCUAGUUGGUGGGGUAAAGGCCCACCAAGGCGACGAUGCAUAGCCGACCUGAGAGGGUGAUCGGCCACACUGGGACUGAGACACGGCCCAGACUCCUACGGGAGGCAGCAGUAGGGAAUCUUCCGCAAUGGGCGAAAGCCUGACGGAGCAACGCCGCGUGAGUGAAGAAGGAUUUCGGUUCGUAAAGCUCUGUUGUUAGGGAAGAAUGGAUAUGUAGUAACUAUACAUGUAAGAGACGGUACCUAACCAGAAAGCCACGGCUAACUACGUG
rnacentral:rRNA from 1 species